rnacentral:rRNA from 1 species
CAGUCGCCACGGGAAAACCGGCACCUCGAGUGGUCAGGAGGUUUAUUGGGCCUAAAGCAUCCGUAGCCGGUUGCAUAAGUUUUCGGUUAAAUCUACGCGCUUAACGUAUAGGCCGCCGAAAAUACUGUGCAGCUAGGGAGUGGGAGAGGUACACGGUACUCGAUAGGAAGGGGUAAAAUCCUUUGAUCUAUUGAUGACCACCUGUGGCGAAGGCGGUGUACCAGAACACGUUCGGCGGUAAGGGAUGAAAGCUGGGGGAGCAAACCGGAUUAGAUACCCGCGUAGUCCCUGUCUCUUAUAC